CUACGUAGGGUGCGAGCGUUGUCCGGAAUUACUGGGCGUAAAGAGCUCGUAGGUGGUUUGUCGCGUCGUCUGUGAAAUUCCGGGGCUUAACUCCGGGCGUGCAGGCGAUACGGGCAUAACUUGAGUACUGUAGGGGAGACUGGAAUUCCUGGUGUAGCGGUGAAAUGCGCAGAUAUCAGGAGGAACACCGGUGGCGAAGGCGGGUCUCUGGGCAGUAACUGACGCUGAGGAGCGAAAGCAUGGGUAGCGAACAGGAUUAGAUACCCUGGUAGUCCAUGCCGUAAACGGUGGGCGCUAGGUGUAGGGGUCUUCCACGACUUCUGUGCCGUAGCUAACGCAUUAAGCGCCCCGCCUGGGGAGUACGGCCGCAAGGCUAAAACUUAAAGGAAUUGACGGGG
rnacentral:rRNA from 1 species